rnacentral:rRNA from 1 species
AACGAACGCUGGCGGCAGGCUUAACACAUGCAAGUCGAGCGCAUCCUUCGGGGUGAGCGGCGGACGGGUGAGUAACGCGUGGGAACGUGCCAUCUUCUACGGAAUAGCCUCGGGAAACUGAGAGUAAUGCCGUAUACGCCCGCAAGGGGAAAGAUGUAUCGGAGGAGGAUCGGCCCGCGUUGGAUUAGGUAGUUGGUGGGGUAACGGCCUACCAAGCCGACGAUCCAUAGCUGGGUUGAGAGGAUGAUCAGCUACACUGGGACUGAGACACGGCCCAGACUCCUACGGGAGGCAGCAGUGGGGAAUCUUGGACAAUGGGGGCAACCCUGAUCCAGCCAUGCCGCGUGAUCGAUGAAGGCCUUAGGGUUGUAAAGAUCUUUCAGCUGGGAAGAUAAUGACGGUACCAGCAGAAGAAGCCCCGGCUAACUCCGUG